UGACCUCGGAUCAGGUAGGGAUACCCGCUGAACUUAAGCAUAUCAAUAAGCGGAGGAAAAGAAAACCAACAGGGAUUGCCUCAGUAACGGCGAGUGAAGCGGCAAGAGCUCAAAUUUGAAAGCUGGCCCCCUCGGGGUCC
rnacentral:ncRNA from 1 species